GAGCUGAGGGUCAAUAUCACUACCCUGACUUGAGCAUUAACUUGCACCUUGAACUCAGUAAGUGCUACUUGUUGGGGCAGUUUUACUUGA
rnacentral:sRNA from 1 species